GUGCCAGCAGCCGCGGUAAUACAGAGGGGUGCAAGCGUUAAUCGGAUUUACUGGGCGUAAAGCGCGCGUAGGCGGCUAAUUAAGUCAAAUGUGAAAUCCCCGAGCUUAACUUGGGAAUUGCAUUCGAUACUGGUUAGCUAGAGUGUGGGAGAGGAUGGUAGAAUUCCAGGUGUAGCGGUGAAAUGCGUAGAGAUCUGGAGGAAUACCGAUGGCGAAGGCAGCCAUCUGGCCUAACACUGACGCUGAGGUGCGAAAGCAUGGGGAGCCAAACAGGGAUUAGAUACCCUGGUAAGUUC
rnacentral:rRNA from 1 species